GGUGUGAUUUUGUGCUGCACAGUCUGAGCACCACGGGAGCUCCUCAGCCCAUGCUGGUGAAGGAGAUGGCAUCAAGCUCCUAUCCUUGAGCCUACUGUUAUAUCAGGACACAUAGAAGCUACAAAGCACACACGGAGCAUGGAUAACCAGCGUGACCCAUCACUCCCUAGCUCUGCACACCCCCAGCAUGGAUCCAGAAGGAGACGCAGUCUUCAGAUUGACUUGGACAUAGUGGAAUAAAGAUGCACGCAGCAAGGUCACUGCUCCAGUUGCCUGUAGGCACAGUUGCUGGGUACCACAGGGCUGGCUGUGGUGUUAACAGGGAAAAGCUCAGCACUGGCUCGCUCAGGCUCCACUGGGAAGUAGGAUAAAGGCAUGGUGUGUGGGAUAUUCUAUAGGAUGGUGCAGAAUCAUAGGAUCGUUAAGGUUGGAAAGACCACUAAGAUCAUCUAAUUCAACCAUCAGCCCAUCCCCACCACGCCCCCUAACCAUGACCCUCAGUGCCCCAUCUCCAUGGUUCUUGAGCACCUCCAGUGACAAUAUAGGAUAUAGGCACUGUCUACAGCUAGCUGUAGAAAACAUCAGGCAAACUAGCAGUUCAAGAGCUGAAUUUCAUACAGGACAUGGCUGCAGUGUGAGGAAAUAUGUAGAUUUUGCCCAAGAAGGAGGGAUCCCACUCCCUCCCCAGCUCAGCUUGGGGUCAGCACCCUGGGGUCACCAGGGGCUGCAGAGCAGCAGGUCUCAUGUGCCUAGAUCCCUCACCAUAGGAUGACUGAGAUUGAGCUCAGCGCAGAGGGUGCCCAGAACACCAGGGGUGACCUUCUCACUGCUUUUCAGACCUUGGAGGUUUCCCUGGCAGAGCAACUCAGUUUUCUUUGCAGCAAAGAUAAUCUUCCCUUCCCCUCACCUCCUCCCCUUCCCCCCACUGAAUAUUCUGGCUUUGCACCAAAUAGCAAAGUCAACAUGAAAUAUACCCUUAUUUCCUGGGCCUCCUCUUCCCAGCCGUCCUCCAGCAAAGAGGAGCGAUGGAGCCUCUGCUCUAUCUACCCACAGCCCCAUUCCAGGGCUGGGUCUUUGUUUCUCAUCAGAGGUGGUGCCAGGAGCUUGGAAACCCUUUCAAACCCACGGUGUAUGGCGAGGAGCAGUGCUGCUGGGAUGGAGAAACUCAGACACUCAUCUGCUGCAACUUUCUUGUGCCAGCUCUUCAUCUCCAUCCCAUGGAGGGGACCACGAUACACCUACAGGAUGGCACUGGGACCAGAUGGCGGAUGUGUGGGGAUGGAUCCACCUUCCACACCCGGAGCUCAGACACCACCUCUGGAUGCCAAAGUGCGAAGAGGGCUGCAAAGAUGA
rnacentral:lncRNA from 1 species